CACCAGCCCCUCGAGUGGUGGGGAUGAUUAUUCGGCCUAAAGCGUCCGUAGCCGGCCGGGUAAGUUUCCCGUUAAAUCCAAUGUCUCAAGCAUUGGACUGCGGGAAAUACUGCCUGGCUAGAGAGUGGGAGAGGUGUACGGUAUUCUGGGGGUAGGGGCGAAAUCCUUUGAUCCCCGGAGGACCACCAGUGGCGAAGGCUGUACACUAGAACACGUCUGACGGUCAGGGACGAAAGCUGGGGUAGCGAACCGGAUUAGAUACCCGGGUAGUCCCAGCUGUAAACGAUGCAUGCUAGGUGUUGGGUUGGCCACGAGCCACCCCAGUGCCGCAGGGAAGCUGUUAAGCAUGCCGCCUGGGAAGUACGAUCGCAAGAUUGAAACUUAAAGGAAUUGGCGGGGGAGCACCACCAGGCGUGAAGCCUGCGGUUU
rnacentral:rRNA from 1 species